GAUGAACGCUGGCGGCAUGCCUUACACAUGCAAGUCGAACGGUAACAGGCCGCAAGGUGCUGACGAGUGGCGAACGGGUGAGUAAUGCAUCGGAACGUGCCCAGUUGUGGGGGAUAACUGCUCGAAAGAGCAGCUAAUACCGCAUACGACCUGAGGGUGAAAGCGGGGGAUCGCAAGACCUCGCGCAAUUGGAGCGGCCGAUGUCAGAUUAGGUAGUUGGUGGGGUAAAGGCCUACCAAGCCGACGAUCUGUAGUUGGUCUGAGAGGACGACCAGCCACACUGGGACUGAGACUCGGCCCAGACUCCUACGGGAGGCAGCAGUGGGGAAUUUUGGACAAUGGGCGCAAGCCUGAUCCAGCAAUGCCGCGUGCAGGAAGAAGGCCUUCGGGUUGUAAACUGCUUUUGUCAGGGAAGAAAUCCUCUGGGUUAAUACCCCGGGGGGAUGACGGUACCUGAAGGAUAAGCACCGGCUAACUACGUGCCAGCAGCCGCGGUAACAC
rnacentral:rRNA from 1 species